rnacentral:rRNA from 1 species
UACGAAGGGGGCUAGCGUUGUUCGGAAUUACUGGGCGUAAAGCGCGCGCAGGCGGUCUUCCAAGUCAGUGGUGAAAGCCCGGAGCUCAACUCCGGAACUGCCAUUGAAACUGUUGGACUUGAGUACGAGAGAGGUGAGUGGAAUUCCCAGUGUAGAGGUGAAAUUCGUAGAUAUUGGGAAGAACACCAGUGGCGAAGGCGGCUAUCUGGACCGGUACUGACGCUGAGGCGCGAAAGCGUGGGGAGCAAACAGG